rnacentral:tRNA from 1 species
GAGGGUAUAGCUCAAAUGGUAGAGCAUAUGCUUGACAUGCACAAGGUCCUGGGUUCAAUAUCCAGUACUUCCU